UUUCCAAUCGUCCUGGACCUCCCCCGAGUUUUCAAAGAUGGAAAACCGAAAACUGAAAAUCAGUGACCUGCUUUUAAGUGCCCUCGACAACCUUCCUCAGGAAAACUUUGAAAGGUUUAAAGACAAACUAGCACACUCUGACUUUGAGGGGAAAGGUAACAUCCCCCGAGGUUGGCUAGAGAAUGCCGACAGGAUACAUACUAAGAACCUCCUGAUGGAAUUCUAUAGUGGAGAUGCUGCAGUAGAUGUAACCAUAGACAUUUUCACUCAGAUCAAUCUCAGAGAUUCUGCUGCAAAACUCGGAGAAGAAAGAGAGAAAGCUUUGGGUCCUCAGCAAACACCUGAAACAUCAGCAAAUGCUUACAGGGUGAAGUAUAGAGAACAUAUAAAAAGCAAAUGCAACAAAAUAAAAGACAUGAAUGCCUGUCUUGGUGAGAAUGUGAAGCUAAACAGCAGAUACACAAAGCUGAUCAUUGUAAAUAAACAUCGUCACAAAAGGCAAAGAGAACAUGAAAUAAUGGCCUUGGGAUGGAAACAUGCAGAAAUCAUGACUAAGUAUGCUACUCCUAUUACCAUAGGCGAUUUAUUUGAAUCUGAUGGAAAGGGACAAUCACCACAAAUUGUCGUGCUGCAGGGAGCUGCAGGGAUUGGAAAAACACUGACAGCAAGAAAGAUCAUGUUGGACUGGGCAAAUGAAGAACUGUAUCAGAGCAGGUUUGAUUAUGUUUUUUACAUAAAUUGUAGGGAAAAUAGCUCUGUCAGAGAGCAGAGAAGUGUUGAAGAUUUGAUUUUAAAGAAUUGCCCUGAUCAAAAUGCACCAACUAAAGAGAUUCUGAUGAAUCCAGAAAAACUCCUGUUCAUAAUUGAUGGUUUUGAUGAACUGAGAUUUUCCUUUAAUCAACCAACAAGUUAUCUGUGCUCUGAUCCCUGUGAGAAGCAGCCAGUGGAAAUCAUACUGAGCAGUUUAUUUAGGAAAGAAGUGCUUCACAAAUCUUACUUAAUAAUUACUACAAGACCAACUGCCCUGGAGAAACUUGGGCAGUGUUUGAAAGAUGAACAUUGUGCAUAUGCAGAGAUCCUGGGAUUUUCUGAAAAUGAGAGAAAAGAAUAUUUCUACAAAUUCUUUGGGAAUGAAGAACAAGCAAGGAAAGCCUUUAACUUUGUAAAAGACAAUGAAAUGCUCUUCACCAUGUGCUUUGUCCCCAUUGUGUGUUGGAUCAUCUGUACGGUUCUGAAACAGCAGAUGGAAGCAGGUGAAGAUCUUGCACAAACUUCCACUACAAUCACUGGAGUGUACAUGCUCUAUCUCUUCAGUUUAUUAAAGGGUCACAGCAGCAAUUCAGAGCAACAGGUGCAAAGGAACUUAAAGGGACUUUGCUCCUUGGCUGCAGAUGGAAUCUGGAGGAAGAAUAUACUGUUUGAGGAAGAAGAUGUCAAGAAACAUGGCUUAAAUAAAUGUGAUUCCCUCUUUCUGAAUGAGAACAUCUUUAAAAAAGACAUUGAUUGUGAAUGUAUUUACAGCUUCAUUCACUUGAGUUUUCAAGAGUUUUUUGCAGCUUUGUUUUAUGUGUUGGAGAAAGAAGAACCAGUAGAAAAUUCAGAAACUGCUAUACAACCUGUGGAAGAAUUGUUUGAAAAGUGUGGAAAAUCUAGGAAUUAUUUAAUGUUAACAGUGCAAUUCAUGUUUGGUCUCUUAAAUAAAAAGAGAAUGGAGGAGAUGGAGAAAAAACUUAGCUUCAAAUUUUCACCGAAAAUCAAAAAUAAUUUACUAACAUGGGUUCAAGAAAAACCCUUUUCAUCGUUGUUCAAUUAUGACAAGUUGUCUCCUGAUAAAAUGACAAUUUUCUAUCUUGAUUAUUUUUACUGUUUGUAUGAAAUUCAAGAAACAGAAUUUGUGCAGAGUGCAAUGAAUCAUUUCACGGAGCUAAAAUUAACUCGUCAUACCUUUACCAAAAUGGAUCAAAUUGUUCUUCAAUUCUGUAUAAAGAAUUGCUGUAAACUGGAGUCAGUUUAUCUAGACACCUGUAAGUUUCUAACUGAAGACCUGAAUGAAGAUUCCCCAGUUCAAUGCGAGUGGCUAUGCGGUGCAGAACAUCAGCAUGAGCUGCAUCAUUCGCCUAUUUACCUGCUCUGUCAAGCACUGCGGGAUCCAAACUGUAAAUUAAAGAAACUACACUUGAGCUAUUGUGGUCUCACAGAGACUGUCUGCGGGGAUCUCGCUGAUGUUCUCAGCACCAGCCAGAGCCUGACAGAGCUGAAACUGCCUGAUAAUUAUUAUCUGGGUGAUGCUGGAGUGCGGCUGCUGUGUGCGGGACUGAAACAUCCACACUGCAAACUGCAGAAAUUGGACUUGGAGAGUUGUCGUAUCACAGACGCGGGCUGUGGGGAUCUCGCCGAUGUUCUCAGCACCAGCCAGAGCCUGACAGAGCUGAACCUGAGUGAUAAUUAUCUGGGCGAUGCCGGAGUGCGGCUGAUGUGUCAGGGACUGAAACACCCAACCUGCACACUGCAGAGACUGGACUUGCAGGUUUGUUUUUUCACUGACACUGGCUGUGGGGAUCUCGCCACUGUUCUCAGAACCAACCAGAGCCUGACAGAGCUGGAUCUGGGUUAUAAUAAACUGGGAGAUGCCGGUGUGAAGCUGCUGUGUGAGGGACUGAAACAAAACUGCAAAUUACAGAGCCUGAAGCUGUACUAUUGUGGUCUCACAACUGCAUGUUGUGAGGAUCUCUCCUCUGUUCUCAGCAACAGCCAGAACCUGACAUUCCUAGAUCUAGGGGAGAACAUACUGGAGGCUUCAGGAGUGCAGCGGCUGUGUGAGGGGCUGAAACAUCCAAACUGCAAACUACAGACACUAUGGCUGCGCCGUUGUGAUCUCAGAGCUGCAUGUUGUGAGGAUCUCUCCUCUGUUCUCAUCACCAGCCAGAGCCUGACAUUCCUAGAUCUAGGGGAGAACAUACUGGAGGCUUCAGGAGUGCAGAGGUUGUGUGAGGGGCUGAAACAUCCAAACUGCAAACUACACAAACUACGCCGGGGUCGAGUUUGAGCUUCCACCUGCAUUUCAGCAGUGUCAGGCCAAGUGUGCAGCACCACAACAGCUAUUGAAAACUCUCCCCCUUCAAGGACUCUGUUACUGAAGCCUGUGAGGAGGGGGUGUGAGGAGCCCAUGCAGCAAUGAGAGCGGAGAUCCAAGAGUGGACUUUUGCUUUCUAUCUCCAGUAAUGCAGGCAGAGCUGGAUGCUGUGAAAAAGAUAAAACCUGAUUUGAUCAUAAAGAACGGCCCGGACGACUGAGUGGGAGCCCGUGCACCAACACAGCUCUGACCUGGCCACCCUGCCACUAGCUGGGUCAGCAGCCAGGGCAAGGAGAAGACCUGGCCCACUUACUAGAGAUCCCACCAUCCCCAGGGACUCCAGCAUCAUAUUUCAGCAUCUGUGGCAGGGAGCUAAGUAGAGAUUGUCAGGCCCAACCUUCCUGUCUGAGGGCAAGAAACUCAGAAGUAGAAGCUGGAUUUGCUCCAUGCUUGGUCUGACCUUAGAUGGGGGAGUUGAUUUGCAGGAUGGAGCAGGAGGAAGGAAGGGGGGCAGUGCAGGGGGGUGACCCAAGAACCAUCCUUGGAGCCAGUGGAUUCUGUUCCAAUAGCUCAGUCAUUAUUUGUUGUAUGUUUCUUCUCCUACCCGUCCCCCACACCCCAAUUUCACACAAUUCCCUGGCCAUUAAAUCAACAUUCUAUGUCCAUCUACAGCAUUUGUUUAUGCCAGAUGGAUGUUUCUCUGUCUGUUUUGCUGGAGUCCAAUAAAGAACAUGAA